ACUGGUACCUCAAACCACAGGUAAAUAAAACUGCAUAAAUGAAACCACCAAUAAGGGAAGACUACUGUACUUUCUUUUUUCUACCUCUCUCUUUUAAUGCAGAAACCACAUUUUUGACUUCUGCAAAAGUUCUGGUUAUCUUCAACUUGUCAACUGCUUUAUACUGUGAAGAAUGC
rnacentral:lncRNA from 1 species